UUUUUUUUGCUUUUUUUUUCCUCCUUUUUUUUUUUUUUUUGCUUCUUCCUCCUCAUGCUCAAUUUUUA
rnacentral:ribozyme from 14 species